UCGAGAAUCUUCGGCAAUGGACGAAAGUCUGACCGAGCGACGCCGCGUGUAUGAUGAAGGCCUUCGGGUUGUAAAGUACUGUCGAUUGGGCGGAAGUUAGAGGGGGUUCUCCCUUUCUUUUGACCUAUCAUUUGAGGAAGGACGGGCUAAGUUCGUGCCAGCAGCCGCGGUAAGACGAACUGUUCGAACGUUAUUCGGAAUCACUGGGCUUAAAGGGCAUGUAGGUUGUAUACUAAGCGGGGUCUGAAAUCCCACGGCUCAACCGUGGAACUGGGCUUCGAACUGGUAAACUAGAGUGAAGUAGAGGUAAGCGGAACUUGGGGUGAAGUAGUGAAAUGCAUAGAUAUCCCAGGGAACACCGGUGGCGAAAGCGGCUUACUUGGCUUCAACUGACACUCAAGUGCGAAAGCUAGGGUAGCGAAAGGG
rnacentral:rRNA from 1 species